rnacentral:tRNA from 1 species
GCAUCGGUGGUUCAGUGAUAGAAUGCUCGGCUGCAACGAGGGUAGCCCGGGUUUACUUCCCGGCCGAUGAG